UAAACACUGGUUCCUAUACGAUCACCGAAGUUAAGCAAUGUCGAUCCUAGUUAGUACCUAGAUGGGUGACUAUUUGGGAAUGUGCG